rnacentral:rRNA from 1 species
UACGUAGGGGGCAAGCGUUGUCCGGAAUUAUUGGGCGUAAAGAGCGUGUAGGCGGUCCGAUAAGUCGGCUGUGAAAGUCCAGGGCUCAACCCUGGGAUGCCGGUCGAUACUGUCGGACUAGAGUUCGGAAGAGGCGAGUGGAAUUCCCGGUGUAGCGGUGAAAUGCGCAGAUAUCGGGAGGAACACCUAUGGCGAAGGCAGCUCGCUGGGACGUUACUGACGCUGAGGAGCGAAAGCGUGGGGAGCGAACAGG